AGUGAACGCUGGCGGUAGGCCUAACACAUGCAAGUCGAACGGCAGCACAGUAAGAGCUUGCUCUUACGGGUGGCGAGUGGCGGACGGGUGAGGAAUACAUCGGAAUCUACUUUUUCGUGGGGGAUAACGUAGGGAAACUUACGCUAAUACCGCAUACGACCUACGGGUGAAAGCAGGGGAUCUUCGGACCUUGCGCGAUUGAAUGAGCCGAUGUCGGAUUAGCUAGUUGGCGGGGUAAAGGCCCACCAAGGCGACGACCCGUAGCUGGUCUGAGAGGAUGAUCAGCCACACUGGAACUGAGACACGGUCCAGACUCCUACGGGAGGCAGCAGUGGGGAAUAUUGGACAAUGGGCGCAAGCCUGAUCCAGCCAUACCGCGUGGGUGAAGAAGGCCUUCGGGUCGUAAAGCCCUUUUGUUGGGAAAGAAAAGCAGCAGGUUAAUACCCCGCUGUUCUGACGGUACCCAAAGAAUAAGCACCGGCUAACUUCGUG
rnacentral:rRNA from 1 species